CGUCAAGAGCGUGUGGCCGAGUUGGCAAAGGGCAUGGCCUGGGAAACUGGGUUUGGCUUCGACGAGGGUUCAACCCACGCUUGAGACAUCCGCCUUCUCCUUGGAGAAGAUUUAACCGGCUGGUGUGGUUGCGGGUCUCGUGCCAGCCCCCAGGUUUACCUAGUGUGCACUGGUCGUCAGUAGCGGCUGCGGGUUCCUGGGUUAUCAAAAAAAAAAAA
rnacentral:lncRNA from 1 species